rnacentral:rRNA from 1 species
GUACACAAAAAUGCACAUAUUGUGAGCUCGAUGAGUAGGGCGGGACACGUGGUAUCCUGUCUGAAUAUGGGGGGACCAUCCUCCAAGGCUAAAUACUCCUGACUGACCGAUAGUGAACCAGUACCGUGAGGGAAAGGCGAAAAGAACCCCGGCGAGGGGAGUGAAAAAGAACCUGAAACCGUGUACGUACAAGCAGUGGGAGCCUCUUUAUGGGGUGACUGCGUACCUUUUGUAUAAUGGGUCAGCGACUUAUAUUCUGUAGCAAGGUUAACCGAAUAGGGGAGCCGAAGGGAAACCGAGUCUUAACUGGGCGUUAAGUUGCAGGGUAUAGACCCGAAACCCGGUGAUCUAGCCAUGGGCAGGUUGAAGGUUGGGUAACACUAACUGGAGGACCGAACCGACUAAUGUUGAAAAAUUAGCGGAUGACUUGUGGCUGGGGGUGAAAGGCCAAUCAAACCGGGAGAUAGCUGGUUCUCCCCGAAAGCUAUUUAGGUAGCGCCUCGUGAAUUCAUCUCCGGGGGUAGAGCACUGUUUCGGCAAGGGGGUCAUCCCGACUUACCAACCCGAUGCAAACUGCGAAUACCGGAGAAUGUUAUCACGGGAGACACACGGCGGGUGCUAACGUCCGUCGUGAAGAGGGAAACAACCCAGACCGCCAGCUAAGGUCCCAAAGUCAUGGUUAAGUGGGAAACGAUGUGGGAAGGCCCAGACAGCCAGGAUGUUGGCUUAGAAGCAGCCAUCAUUUAAAGAAAGCGUAAUAGCUCACUGGUCGAGUCGGCCUGCGCGGAAGAUGUAACGGGGCUAAACCAUGCACCGAAGCUGCGGCAGCGACACUAUGUGUUGUUGGGUAGGGGAGCGUUCUGUAAGCCUGUGAAGGUGGCCUGUGAGGGUUGCUGGAGGUAUCAGAAGUGCGAAUGCUGACAUAAGUAACGAUAAAGCGGGUGAAAAGCCCGCUCGCCGGAAGACCAAGGGUUCCUGUCCAACGUUAAUCGGGGCAGGGUGAGUCGACCCCUAAGGCGAGGCCGAAAGGCGUAGUCGAUGGGAAACAGGUUAAUAUUCCUGUACUUGGUGUUACUGCGAAGGGGGGACGGAGAAGGCUAUGUUGGCCGGGCGACGGUUGUCCCGGUUUAAGCGUGUAGGCUGGUUUUCCAGGCAAAUCCGGAAAACCAAGGCUGAGGCGUGAUGACGAGGCACUACGGUGCUGAAGCGACAAAUGCCCUGCUUCCAGGAAAAGCCUCUAAGCAUCAGGUAACAUCAAAUCGUACCCCAAACCGACACAGGUGGUCAGGUAGAGAAUACCAAGGCGCUUGAGAGAACUCGGGUGAAGGAACUAGGCAAAAUGGUGCCGUAACUUCGGGAGAAGGCACGCUGAUAUGUAGGUGAAGCGACUUGCUCGUGGAGCUGAAAUCAGUCGAAGAUACCAGCUGGCUGCAACUGUUUAUUAAAAACACAGCACUGUGCAAACACGAAAGUGGACGUAUACGGUGUGACGCCUGCCCGGUGCCGGAAGGUUAAUUGAUGGGGUUAGCGGUAACGCGAAGCUCUUGAUCGAAGCCCCGGUAAACGGCGGCCGUAACUAUAACGGUCCUAAGGUAGCGAAAUUCCUUGUCGGGUAAGUUCCGACCUGCACGAAUGGCGUAAUGAUGGCCAGGCUGUCUCCACCCGAGACUCAGUGAAAUUGAACUCGCUGUGAAGAUGCAGUGUACCCGCGGCAAGACGGAAAGACCCCGUGAACCUUUACUAUAGCUUGACACUGAACAUUGAGCCUUGAUGUGUAGGAUAGGUGGGAGGCUUUGAAGUGUGGACGCCAGUCUGCAUGGAGCCGACCUUGAAAUACCACCCUUUAAUGUUUGAUGUUCUAACGUUGGCCCGUAAUCCGGGUUGCGGACAGUGUCUGGUGGGUAGUUUGACUGGGGCGGUCUCCUCCUAAAGAGUAACGGAGGAGCACGAAGGUUGGCUAAUCCUGGUCGGACAUCAGGAGGUUAGUGCAAUGGCAUAAGCCAGCUUGACUGCGAGCGUGACGGCGCGAGCAGGUGCGAAAGCAGGUCAUAGUGAUCCGGUGGUUCUGAAUGGAAGGGCCAUCGCUCAACGGAUAAAAGGUACUCCGGGGAUAACAGGCUGAUACCGCCCAAGAGUUCAUAUCGACGGCGGUGUUUGGCACCUCGAUGUCGGCUCAUCACAUCCUGGGGCUGAAGUAGGUCCCAAGGGUAUGGCUGUUCGCCAUUUAAAGUGGUACGCGAGCUGGGUUUAGAACGUCGUGAGACAGUUCGGUCCCUAUCUGCCGUGGGCGCUGGAGAACUGAGGGGGGCUGCUCCUAGUACGAGAGGACCGGAGUGGACGCAUCACUGGUGUUCGGGUUGUCAUGCCAAUGGCACUGCCCGGUAGCUAAAUGCGGAAGAGAUAAGUGCUGAAAGCAUCUAAGCACGAAACUUGCCCCGAGAUGAGUUCUCCCUGACUCCUUGAGAGUCCUGAAGGAACGUUGAAGACGACGACGUUGAUAGGCCGGGUGUGUAAGCGCAGCGAUGCGUUGAGCUAACCGGUACUAAUGAACCGUGA